rnacentral:rRNA from 1 species
UACGUAGGGGGCAAGCGUUGUCCGGAUUUAUUGGGCGUAAAGAGCGUGUAGGCGGCCAGGGAGGUCCGUUGUGAAAACUCGAGGCUCAAUCUCGAGACGCCGAUGGAAACCCCCUGGCUAGAGUCCGGAAGAGGAGAAUGGAAUUCCUGGUGUAGCGGUGAAAUGCGCAGAUAUCAGGAAGAACACCCGUGGCUAAGGCGGUUCUCUAGUACGGUACUGACGCUGAGACGCGAAAGCGUGGGGAGCGAACAGG